GCCGCGGUAGCUCAGUGGUAGAGCAUCUGCCUGAAGAGCAGAGUGUCGGUGGUUCGAUCCCAUCUCGCGGCACCA
rnacentral:tRNA from 1 species